rnacentral:rRNA from 1 species
CCUACGGGAGGCAGCAGUGGGGAAUAUUGCACAAUGGGGGAAACCCUGAUGCAGCGACGCCGCGUGAAGGAAGAAGUAUUUCGGUAUGUAAACUUCUAUCAGCAGGGAAGAAAAUGACGGUACCUGACUAAGAAGCCCCGGCUAACUACGUGCCAGCAGCCGCGGUAAUACGUAGGGGGCAAGCGUUAUCCGGAUUUACUGGGUGUAAAGGGAGCGUAGACGGCAAGGCAAGUCUGGAGUGAAAGCCCGUGGCCCAACCACGGGACUGCUUUGGAAACUGUGUUGCUGGAGUGCAGGAGGGGUAAGCGGAAUUCCUAGUGUAGCGGUGAAAUGCGUGGAUAUUAGGAGGAACACCGGUGGCGAAGGCGGCUUACUGGACUGUAACUGACGUUGAGGCUCGAAGGCGUGGGGAGCAAACAGGAUUAGAUACCCUUGUAGUC